GACGAACGCUGGCGGCGUGCUUAACACUUGCAAGUCGAACGGAAAGGCUCCAGCUUGCUGGCGUACUCGAGUGGCGAACGGGUGAGUAACACGUGGGUAAUCUGCCCUGCACUCUGGGAUAAGCCUGGGAAACUGGGUCUAAUACUGGAUAUGACCUUUCUCCUUAUGGGGUUUGGUGGAAAGUUUUUCGGUGUAGGAUGAGCCCGCGGCCUAUCAGCUUGUUGGUGGGGUGAUGGCCUACCAAGGCGACGACGGGUAGCCGGCCUGAGAGGGUGAUCGGCCACAUUGGGACUGAGAUACGGCCCAGACUCCUACGGGAGGCAGCAGUGGGGAAUAUUGCACAAUGGGCGGAAGCCUGAUGCAGCGACGCCGCGUGAGGGAUGACGGCCUUCGGGUUGUAAACCUCUUUCAGCAGGGACGAAGCGUAAGUGACGGUACCUGCAGAAGAAGCACCGGCUAACUAUGUG
rnacentral:rRNA from 1 species